AGGACACGUGGUCGCGCGGGUCGCUGCGCGGGAAGAUUGGAGGCGGCAGAGCUUGCGUCCAGAUGGAGUCUAUCGCCUGCAUAGCUGCUGCUGCAGCUGCUGCUGCUGAGUCGUUUCAGUCGUGUCCAACUCUGUGCGACCCCAUAGACGGCCUCCCACCAGGCUCCCCUGUCCCUGGGAUUCUCCAGGCAAGAACACUGGAGUGGGUUGCCAUUUCCUUCUCCAAUGCAUGAAAGUGGAAAGUGAAAGUAAAGUCGCUCAGUUGUGUCCGACUCUUAGUGACUCCAUGGACCUCAGCCUACCAGGCUCCUCCGUCCAUGGGAUUUUCCAGGCAAGAGUAUUGGAGUGGGGUGCCAUUGUUGCUGCAGCCUGAAUUGCUAGGCAAACCUUCUCACACACCAGCGACUACUCACCACUGCACACCUUCCCCUGCACGCCUUCACCUGCCGGCUGGAACGCUCACUCUUUACCCUGGAAGGUGAGGCUGGUGCUAAUCUGCUUCCCGCCUGCACUAACCUGUCCCUCUGUCCUCCACCAGGGCUUCCCUGGAGGCUCAGACGGUAAAGAAUCUGCCUGCAAUGUUGGAGACAUGGGUUCGAUCCCCGGGUUGGGAAGAUCCCCUGGAGGAGGGCAUAGCAACCCACUCCAGUCGUCUUGCCUGGAGAAUCCUGUGGACAGAGGAGCCUGGCGGGCUACAGUCUGUGGGGUCUCAAAGAGUCAGACAUGACUUAGCAACUAAGCAUGGCACAGCACACCCUCCAAAGAGCCCUUCCUGCUAACCAGGCAAAAUGUGUUCUCAAGCCCUGCAGUCUUUUCCUCGAUCCUGGAAUGCCCUGCCUGCAAGUUUCAAGGUUACACUGAGAUGGAAUCCCCCCUGUGAAUGCUUCCUGGAUGUCACCUUCCAUCCAGGUGACUUGUCACAUCCAAGAUCAGGAGCAGCUGCAUCAGACAACUCGGAAGAGAAUGCAUUCCUGAAGGGAAUGAACAUGGUAGGGAGGUUUGGAUAACGGUACCAAAAAAUAAAUGCCAUCAAGACUGCGUGAACUUUGAGUCACUGUAGUCUGAGAUGCCCUUUCCUGGAGCAAAGAAGUGACGGGCCUGUCUUGUGCAUGCAUGCAUGCUCAGUCGCUUCAGUCGUGUCUGACUCUUUGCAACCCCAUGGACUAUAGC
ensembl:lncRNA